rnacentral:rRNA from 1 species
GACGAACGCUGGCGGCGUGCUUAACACAUGCAAGUCGAACGAAGAGCGAUGGAAGCUUGCUUCUAUCAAUCUUAGUGGCGAACGGGUGAGUAACGCGUAAUCAACCUGCCCUUCAGAGGGGGACAACAGUUGGAAACGACUGCUAAUACCGCAUACGAUCUAAUCUCGGCAUCGAGGAUAGAUGAAAGGUGGCCUCUACAUGUAAGCUAUCACUGAAGGAGGGGAUUGCGUCUGAUUAGCUAGUUGGAGGGGGAACGGCCCACCAAGGCGAUGAUCAGUAGCCGGUCUGAGAGGAUGAACGGCCACAUUGGGACUGAGACACGGCCCAGACUCCUACGGGAGGCAGCAGUGGGGAAUCUUCCGCAAUGGACGAAAGUCUGACGGAGCAACGCCGCGUGAGUGAUGACGGCCUUCGGGUUGUAAAGCUCUGUUAAUCGGGACGAAAGGCCUUCUUGCGAAUAGGGAGAAGGAUUGACGGUACCGGAAUAGAAAGCCACGGCUAACUACGUG